rnacentral:lncRNA from 1 species
AGCGCCCCAACCUGGGGUUCCCGCGGCGGGCGGGCGGGCUGCGCCUCCGCUCGCCUUCUCAGUAGCUCCGUAGGCGUGUGGCCGUUUCUCCGCCAAUCUGAGCGCACCGCGCCACAGCAUCCUGUGGUCCCCUGCAGAUCCCACAGCGCCCUGGCCAGAACUAGUGCUGCAGGUCCGGCCGUGCCAACCCCCUCCCGGCGGGCCCCAGGGAGCUCACACGGAACUCGAGACCAGUUUUCCUUCUCCAAAAUAAAAGAUUUGGAAAACAGAAAAACAGUGGACGGUGUCCGUGGUCUUUGAAUCCUUUCUACAGGUCCUUCUCAAAUAUCAGCUGCUGAACUAUUCCCUUGGAAUUAG